AUGGGUGGGAUUGCGCCUAGAGUGAUCAUAACUGAUGAAUGUGUUAGGAUGAAAAAUGCAAUCAGAAAAACUGUACCGAACACGACACAUAGAUUGUGCAUGUGGCACAUUAUGGAAAAGGUUCCAGGGAAGGUACACCCGGAAUUGAGGAAUGACCUUGUGUUCUAUGAUAGGAUGAAACAUUGUGUGUGGAAUUCUGAAACACCUACUGAAUUUGAGGAUAGGUGGCAACCUUUCAUCUUAGAGUUUCAGUUGGAGGACCACGAGUGGUUUGCCAAAAGGCAAAGUGAGCUGAUUGCCAAUAACACAAGUGAAUACACAACAAGUGAGUUGUUGACAUCGUGGGAAAUAAAGAGACAUGGCAGGGCGCUAUUCACCCAUGAGGUUUUUGAAUUUUUUCAGGCCCAGGUGCUUGCUGCUAGAGAUGAUUGUGAUGAUCAGCAGACAGAAAAUCGUGAAGGGAUUAAAAUCAUGUUUGUCAGCGAUCAAUACAAGAAGAUUAGAGAAGUGUGUUAUGACACAACAUCCAUGACUGCUAAAUGUUCUUACAAGCUUUUUGAGUCCAAGGGAAUUAAAAAUUGCAAAAGGGACAUUGUCUAUGAUGGGGAAGGGAAUGUGAUUGAAGAAAAUUUAACAGAUCCGGUUGACAUUGCUGUGAAAAGGAAGAUAGUUGCUGUGAGAUUAGCUAGAAGAUCUCAUACGAAAAUCCAAACACUCCAUGGAAGGAAUUGA
rnacentral:rRNA from 1 species